GACAGAGGAGCCAAGCGUUGUCCGGAUUGACUGGGCGUAAAGCGCACGCAGGCGGUUGCGCGCGUGGGGUGUGAAAGCUGGUGGCUUAACUGCCAGAUGGCAUCCCAUACGGCGCGACUCGAGCCCGUGAGAGGUCCACGGAAUUGCCGGUGUAGUGGUGAAAUGCGUAGAGAUCGGCAGGAACACCCAGGGGGAAACCAGUGGACUGGCACGGUGCUGACGCUCAGGUGCGAAAGCGUAGGGAGCGAACCGG
rnacentral:rRNA from 1 species